rnacentral:lncRNA from 1 species
GUAAGGCAGACCUUUCUCGGGCUCCCUCCUACCCACCUCUCUUUCCUAGAGAAGCUCCGCGAUCAUGUUUUGCUGCUGGACGAGGACCCAAAUGCUCUGGGCGCUGGGGUCAGGAAAGUGGGGAACCUCAAAUGAAAGGAGAGAUGGGGCUGUGGCUGUCAGCUGGAAAGUGCUGCUUGAAUUUGAGGUGCUGUGGGUCCUCAAAGCUGAUAACCAAGUGACCCCCUUGUGCCCGGAGGCCCUGCCUGCUACCCUGAGUGCCCUGCCUAGCACCAAGGAGCACCUUGCCAUUCUGCUGGUAUCCCUCUGAACUGCCAACAUCCCGGAAGUGAGGACUGGGUGAGCUGGGAGUGACGCCAACUGAUCUGAAAGAACCUGGAGAUAUUCACCAGUCUUCAUUCAUCAACUGAGAGACAAACAAAGGCCAGAGGCUUUAUAUGAAAAAAGAGACACAAAAAGCAAAUGUGAUCCCAUCAUUUCAAUCAGUUCUUGGGUGGCAUCUCUAUGGCUCUCCUUUCCUCGGCUCCUGUUGGUGGCUCAUCCUUCCUUACAGUUAGCUUCAUUUAUAUGCCAGAUGGACACGUAGGUAGGGAAGGCCAUCUGUCACCUCCGUAAAGGGCAGAGAAGCAGGAGAAAAGCAGGUUCUCCCAAGUCAAGUCCAACUGAAUUGGAUCCCUCUCCUUUACCGACUUCUUCAAAUACUACACCAUCUUUAUAAAAAUCAGUUCUAUCUCAAGACAAAUCAUCAACAGUAAGAAUGUGGAUAUGAUGUACUUUCAAAUUUAAAAAAAAGACAUCAGCAGAUUUAAAUAUCAGCUCAGGGACUCUCAACCUAGGGACUCUCAAAACAAGGCCCUUGUGGCUAUCAGGCGUACACAAAAGAGUUUUGGCCUUCACGGUAUAGAUGGGGUCACCUGUGAAUGGGCAGGAACCCUUGGAAACAGACAUUCAGCUUCUCCCACACCAUCACAUCCUCAGAGAACAUGACUAAUGUACGAUCAGGAGGAGAACGAAAAUGGUUUGUGAAGGCAAUCUGGAAUGAUUCCUUGAAGAAUGGAGAAAAUGGGGUACACUUAUGUUUCCAGGGUAUAAAAAACUUAGUGAGGGGCAGACACCCAAGCUGAUGAAGAAAAUACCAUAUUUACUGCUUUACUGGGGUAAAAUUUGUGGUUGUUUAAAAGCAAACUAUAGUAAUAGACCUACACUCCAUAGUCCAUUACUUUCUUGUGGCACGUUGGAGUGAUUCUACCGCCAUCUAUGCCCAAAGCCUCUCCUUUCCAAAGAAGGCCGUUUUAUAGAAACACAUCAGAACAUCUUCUUUUAUCUUUUGACAAAAUGAAACCUCAUCCUUGGGAGUUUCCCACCCAUUGCUCUCUUGGCUACUUCACUCCAGUACUAUUUCAUUACUUAUUGAUUUUUCCACCCCUCUCUGCAUGGCUGUAAUUUACACAAGUCCUUACAGCCCUUAGCGAUUCUUAACACCUCAAGGUAAGAUCACUGAGUCCACUAGAGAGAGAGGCAGC